CAAGGAUCCUGCCAAACGGUGGACAUGUGAGCAACUGCUGAAGCACCCGUACCUCGCCAACUGCAAAGCCUCUGAGGUGGAUGUCGAGGACAAUGUUCGAAUACGAAGGGAAAAGUCCAGGAACGGCACUCAGCACCAGUCCUUGUUUCCACACCUUCCUGGGCACUCCGGAAGUGGGUACCCGACGCCAGACAUCCGGGCUUCCCACUUGCACUCCCGACAUUCGCAACAACUGCAGGGUCAACAGUCGCAGCAGUCAUCUUCGCGCAAGUUCGACCAUUUGCCAAACAUCUGACGCCUAGGUCCUGGGACACUGUACCACUCUGUCCCCAAGUCCUUCACUGGAUGGUCCUGGAAGUAGUCCCGAGACAGAGACUGGCGUACUUUCUUCAGUGACGUGUUAUGUCUCUCCUUCGGAGUAGAGUUGCAACAUGGACGUUGUUGUGUAAAGGUCUCACUGCGUGUCUGAAAUAGUAAGAGACUGUGUGAAGCGUGGCUUAACAGAAGACAGUUCUUUCUUGGCAAUGCACGACUGAUGUGACGAAAGGCGUUCCAUGAUUCAGUUGAACUCAAUUUAAGCAUUGGAUAAUCAACAGGAUUUCUUAGCUUGAUGUAAUACUCAAAAUAAAAUUUUUGAAUUGUA